rnacentral:rRNA from 1 species
UACAGAGGUCUCAAGCGUUGUUCGGAUUCAUUGGGCGUAAAGGGUGCGCAGGCGGCGGGGCAAGUCGGACGUGAAAUCUCGGGGCCCAACCCCGAAACUGCGUUCGAUACUGCCUUGCUCGAGGACUGGAGAGGAGACUGGAAUUCCUGGUGUAGCAGUGAAAUGCGUAGAUAUCAGGAGGAACGCCAAUGGCGAAGGCAAGUCUCUGGACAGUUCCUGACGCUCAUGCACGAAGGCCAGGGGAGCAAACGGG